GUACUGAUGGGAAGGGGGAAGAAAACACAGCAAUUAGCCAGAGGCUGUGCUCUGCCAAGGAACAGGGGGAAGAACCCCACUACAGAUGCCCCUCAGAGAGCUACGACAGCCUCCAGCUCAGGACGCAUGGGGCACUACCAUCAGCCCCCUGUAGCCUAUUAUUACCAGCCAUUUUCCUCUACAGAUAUAUUAAACUGGCAGAGACAUGCUCCACCUUACUCGGGGGAGCCACAAGCCAUGAUUAGGCUAAUGGAGACUAUUUUUCGAACCCACCGCCCUACAUAGGAUGACAUAAUCCAACUACUUGUCUCCCUUUUCAGCACUGAGGACAGACACAGGAUCCUAACUGAGAACUAAAAAUGGUUAAGAGAAAUGGCACCUGAGGGUACUGCAAACCCACAGCGGUGGGCAGAGCUAGCCACCACCGAUGAGAGGCCCAAUGGAGACUGUAACACAGAGGAAGGCAGGGGCCACCUGGAAAGUUAUCGGGUUACUAUUUUACAAGGUCUCAAGAGGGGGGCCCGAAAAGCUAUGAGUAUCCCAAAAUCCUCCGAAGUGAUUCAAACGGAAAGCGAAUCAACCUCUGAGUUCUGUGAAAGACUAUGCGAGGCCUAUAGAUUUUAUAUGCCAAUAGACCCAGCCAGAGGCUGCUGGGUCUCAGAUGGUGAUAAAUGCAGCCUUUGGUCUCUAGCCUACCCUGAAAAUGUCAGAUGGGGGGACACCAAGUGACUCAUGAAUUUUUAUACAUCCCUGAAUGCCCAGUACCUUUGUUAGGAAGAGACUUGCUGUCUAAACUGGGGGCACAAGUGACCUUUCCCCCCACGAAAGACCCACUGUUCGAGUGGGCCCAACCACCUAUUUUACUCUUCCUCUCAGUAACCCCUCAAGAUGAAUGGAGGUUGCACGAUCUCCCAGAAGGGAAAGUGGACAGGCUAAACAGUUGAGAGAGAAAGUUAACUCAACAAUUCCCUGAGGUCUGGGCGGAAGACAGCCCCCCCAGGCUUGCACAACAAGUCCCACAGGUAAUAGAACUCAAACCCGGUACAAUUAUGUCAGCACCCGCCUUGGGCCUGCCAGACCUUGCUCAGCCGUUUACUCUUUACGUGACUGAAAAGGACAAGGUGGCUAUAGGAGUGUUGUCCCAGACUAUGGGGACAUGGGACAGACCUGUGACUUAUCUCUAAUCAGCUGGACAAUGUUGACACUGGGUGGCUGGGAUGCUUACAGGCAGUUGCUGCAACUGUCUUACUGGUCCAGGAGGCAACCAAGCUGAUUUGGUCCAAGAUUUGUUCGUAAAAGUCCCGCAUGAAGUCAACACUCUCCUGUGAGGAGACCCCCAUAAAUGGCUGUCAACAUCCCGGACUACGCAAUACCUGCGACUAUUAUGUGAGAACCCCCAUGUUACUACUGAGCCUUGUCAGGCCCUGAAUCUGGCCACUCUUUCUUGUGGGAGAAUGUGGGCCCUCACAUGAUUGCAAGGACAUAUGCCAGCAGCCCUGACUUGAGAGACCAGCCAAUCCUGGACCCAGAUUUGGUCCUGUACACCAAUGGCACCAGCCUGGUGAAACAAGGACAAUGACUGUCGGGAUAUGAAAUAGUCAUGGAAGAACCCAUCGUUGAGGCUCACUCUCUGCCAUCACACUGGUCUGCUCAACAGGCGGAACUAUAUGCUCUAAUCCAGGCCCUCCAGCUGUCAAAAGGACAAAAUCUCAGAACUGCACUGCCUGCUGAGGUCAAUCCUGCCUCUCAGCACAAACAGAAACCUCCAGGGAUUCAGGUAAAAGGCACGCUGCCCUUUGAACACCUGGAAGUGGACUUCACUGAAAUGAAACCUCACUGAUACUACCAUUACUUGCUGGUCAUAGUAUGUAUGUUCUCAGGAUGGGUAGAAGCUUUUCCUACCCGGACUGAAAGAGCAUCAAAAGUAGCCUGUGCCUGCUUAGGGAAAUAGUUCCCAGAUUUGGAUUUCCUACCAGCAUUGGAUUGGACAAUGGCCCGGCUUUCGUAGCUGAUUUAGUAUAACAAGUAAGCAAAACUUUAAACAUCAAGUGGAAAUUACAUACGGCAUAUAGGCCCCCGAGUUCUGGGAUGGUGGAAGGAACCAGCCGGACACUUAAAGAGACACUCUCCAAGUGGAUCUUAGAGACUGACUGUUCCUGGGUGGACUUGUUUCCAACAGCUCUGUUCAGACUCAGGAUGACCCCACAGUCCCAUGGCUCUUCUCCAUACAAAAUUGUGUAUGGGAGGCCCCCUCCCAUAAUAAAACAGGUGUCAACAAAUUUGCCUCAGGUAAGGGGAGAUGAGAUUUCACAGCAGAUGGAACAACUGGGUAAGGUAAUAAAUUAGGUAACUAAGGUUGUACAAGAAAGGGUGCCAUUCCACCUUGGGGAACAGAUUCACGAAUUUGUGCCCGGGGAUCAGGUGUGGUCAAGGACUGGAAACAUGACUCCUUGGCCCCACAUUGGAAGGGUCCAUAUGCUGUUCUAACCAGACCUACUGCAGUUAAAGUUGCAGGUGUCAUUCCCUGGAUCCACCACAUGAAGAUGAAGAGAGCUUACCGCACAGACCCGGAGGACUCCUAGUGGACUGCGCAGAGGGACCCCUCUGAUCCCUGUGAAGCCAAGAUCAUCUUAAAGAAGAAACAGAGAUGAAGCUCUACAAUCAACUGCUGCUACAAGGACUUGCUGGUAUCAUCUUGAGACUGACCAUAGUUUCAGUACAAAGAGGGACCUGUGCUAUAAUUAAAGUUGAAUGUUGUAUAUAUAUUCCUGAUUUAUCUGGCUAUAUAUCAGCCACCCUAGAUGACAUGAAAGGUCAGGUAAAACUUAUGUCUGAUGAUAAUCUUCCUUUUUGGACUUCAGUCCUAUGUUGGGUGAAGGGUGAUUGGUGGAAAACUAUAUUUACUAUUGUUAUAGUUGCCUUGAUAGUUCUGCUUUGUGGACCCUUUAUUUUACAAUGUAUUAUGAACUUUGUAACCCAAAGGUUGAUGUCAUUCUUCCAAAUUGGGGGUCGGAGAGUCAGGGUGCAAUUUACCCCUAUGAAUGUCGCUCAUACUAUGAGUUAAGAGCAUCAAGAAGAGGGACUGAAGGAGGAAACAGACAGAACAGGCUCUAUCUUGAAAGCAGGACUCCAUCUUGGGCUGGACCAUGGACUUUGAGCUCUAUGCCCAGUAUCUACGGGAACGACAUACCGACUGGAAAACCAGACCCCCGGAUGGAAGAGCCUCAGGGCUCGUUCCUAGACUGUCUGUUACCUAAAAGAAUACCCUAAUUAUCUGUGUAACCAAAUAGAAUCAUAAAUUCUAUUAUGCUUAUUGGGGUAUGAUCACAGGCCUAUUAAUAAUUGUCCACGUUAACUACCUAGGAUUAAGGCAUAUGAAUCACGGUUUAACUUUGAUUGUAUCUUUCUUUUCCUUUGUUCAGACUAGUUUCAGGGAAUUUGGGGAGGUGGGUUUGGGCACGUACACUUAGGGUAUAUAAAGUUUUCAGAAAAACUGGUCGGGGUCCUUGGCUAAGAAGAGACUCUGCCUUGGGCCCGCCGAUGUAAUAAACUGCACUCCACUAU